GACGAACGCUGGCGGCGUGCUUAACACAUGCAAGUCGAACGGAAAGGCCCUGCUUUUGUGGGGUGCUCGAGUGGCGAACGGGUGAGUAACACGUGAGUAACCUGCCCUUGACUUUGGGAUAACUUCAGGAAACUGGGGCUAAUACCGGAUAGGAGCUCCUGCUGCAUGGUGGGGGUUGGAAAGUUUCGGCGGUUGGGGAUGGACUCGCGGCUUAUCAGCUUGUUGGUGGGGUAGUGGCUUACCAAGGCUUUGACGGGUAGCCGGCCUGAGAGGGUGACCGGCCACAUUGGUACUGAGAUACGGCCCAGACUCCUACGGGAGGCAGCAGUGGGGAAUAUUGCACAAUGGGCGGAAGCCUGAUGCAGCAACGCCGCGUGCGGGAUGACGGCCUUCGGGUUGUAAACCGCUUCCGCCUGUGACGAAGCGUGAGUGACGGUAAUGGGUAAAGAAGCACCGGCUAACUACGUG
rnacentral:rRNA from 1 species